UCCAGGUGCAAGCAAGGUCAUGCAUGAUUUGCUUCUCCUUUUUACAUUUGUUUAAGCAAGGUCUUGUAAAUUCUUCUGAUUCCUUCUCCUUGAUCUACUUCCUUAGCAUAAAAUGUGUUCAAAUACAUAAUAAUUUCUUGUGGGAUCAUAUAAUUUCUCUCCUUUAGGACUAAAUCAUAUACAUUGGUCCUUUCUACACUUUGCAUUAAUGAAAUAUUCUACACAAAACCCUUUUUUUUGUAUUAUAAAGUGUAAUCAACAAACUCAAAAAUCAAAGGAAUAAUGAGCAGUCCAAGUUGCAAGUUUUAGGUCUUGUGGGAUCCACUUUGCGGGGGCUACGUCACCCUGGAAAUGUGUCGGGGUGGUUCGGUCGAGCUAAUUAGCGGUGCAAUCAUCCGUUAAAAUGCGCGCAAAGAAGACUUAUCGCGGACUCACGUGCAAUAAGCACACCGGCUCUACGUUUCGGUCUUCCUCCACUACGCGGGUUCUCCCUCUCGUGUCGUCGAUUCCUGGUGGGAGGAUUAGGGUUAGGAGAGAGAUAGAGAGAGUGGGGGAUCGUGAUGGCUCGGUUGCCGAAUCAAGACGAGCUCCGGACUUGUUCCGGCUGCUCAGGUGCGGCGUCGGCGGCGGUGAAGUUGGAGACCGAGGAUCCUUUGGAUGACGAGCUCGGCCGUCUUAGCAAGAAGUUUAAGACCGUGGCCCGUCAUCAACAGGACGCGAUGUGUAACUUGCUUGAUGAACUUAGUCCUUUGGGCCUACAUCUUAGGAAGAGCCCAUCUUUGGUUGAUUUGAUUCAGAUGGGGCUUUCUCAAACAAAUUCUUCUGCUGCAUCUUGUGGCUCAACUUUGAGAGCUUGGGAGGUGGAAGGAAGAAAGAACUGAUGUCAGCACCUGUUUCUAGCACAACUGAAAAGAUGAAAGCCUCAAAUUUUCCUUUAUCACUUUUGAGGAUUGCUACAUGGGGAGGCUUUUCUGUACUGCCCGAGUCGGUAUAGUAUGGGCUGUACAUACCAGUUCGAUGGGCAACCAAGAUGUGAACCGCCCUGUAGGUCCUAUGAGUUUCUGUAAAUGCUUGCUACAACGAGGCUUCCAGUUGCAAUAAAGUACACUAGGCAUUACUUCAGCAGACAGGACCAGUAUUUGAGUCUUGGACAAUGGAAGAAAAUGCUUUCAAGGGGGUAGAAGGAAGAUGAACCUGAUUAUUCACCAUAUGAUGAAUCAGUUGAAAGAAAGCCACUUAUGCCAAGGAAUGACUCAUUUGGCGAGCUUCUAAUUCUUCAUCGCAUAGCGUCGAUGCCCCAGUUCUUGUUCAGUAUCCAAGAAGAUGCAGAGGGUGGAUACCUUUAGCCCAUCUUCGAAACUUGUGCAUAUUAUCAUCUCCUCUCGGCAAUACUCAUAUUUGAUGAGCUCUGGCACAGAUCAAGAAUAUGCAGUUACAGAUUUCUCAUCUUAGCAUGACUCAGGCCAGACUCAUAGUGCAGGUAUUGUUUUAUGACCCUUGUAAUUACUACAGCAAAUCCUCACUAUGUUAAAGAGAAGUCUAUACUCCUUUUCACGCUGAUGUUGCUACUGAAACAUUCUUUGUAGUGAGAAAUUGAUGAUGAUAAUGAAAUUGGAUUUCACACUCAUUCUUCC